UGAAAUUGCUUUCCAACAUAAGGUUUGGUGAUACGCAGGUAGAAAUUAGACGAGGUUCGGUCACGAAGCGAAUUUUUUUUGUUUUUAAAAAAAUACGAAGUAAUUGAAUUGAACCACAUGUUAAAGAAUAAAGUGAUAAAGACGAAUAAAGUCGUCAGAGUGUUUGUUGCAUUCGUUUAGUGAAGACAUUUUUGUUAAAAUGAAUUAUAGCUUAGAAGAAUACACAGACAUGCAUUUAGUUUUUGGAGAGGCUCGGUGCAGCGGUCGAAGGGCGGCGAGAUUGUACGCAAAUCGCUACCCAAAUCGAAGACACCCGGAUGCAAACGUUUUUGUGCGGUUGGAUUCCCGAUUGAGGACGGAAGGAAGAUUAAUUGCUCAUCGCGGGGAAGGCAGACCACAACGCGGUGUUCGAGACCAUGAACGAAUUCUAGAGGAAGUUGAGGAAAAUCCGACAAUGAGUACGAGGAAAUUAUCAACAGUUUUAGAUAUACCAAAAACAACGAUAAAUAGAGUGCUCCGCAGUAAUAACAUACACCCCUAUCAUUAUUCGGCUGUGCAGGAGUUACAUCCAGGGGAUGCGGAGAUGCGCCUGGAAUUUUGUCACGAGUUGCUAAGACGCCAUUAUGCUGACGGAGAAUUUCUGUCCAAGAUACUCUGGACCGAUGAAAGCAUGUUUACCAGGGCAGGCUGUUUUAAUCGGCAUAAUUUACAUCAUUAUGCCGAUCAAAACCCGCACGUAACCCAGGUAAAAUGCUUUCAGCGGCGCUGGAAGAUCAACAUUUGGGCAGGAAUUAUUGGUAAUAACAUCAUUACCUACGAGUUGAACCCGUCGCUUAAUGGUCAGCAAUACGCAACAUUCCUACAGGAUGUUCUUCCAGAAUUCCUAAACGCAUUGCCAGAUAACGAACGACCCAGUUUCUUCCAGCAAGAUGGUGCACCGCCCCACAACAUCCGGCGGGUAACUGCAUGGCUGAACCAAACCUACCCGGGGCAAUGGUUUGGUCAAUACGGUCCGAUUCGAUGGCCGCCUCGUUCUCCGGAUUUAACUCCGCUGGAUUUCUUCUUUUGGGGAUACCUCAAACAAGAAGUUUACCAGCAGGAGUCGGAGGAUGUAGAGGACGUCAUCGCCAAAUUCCAUGCGGCAACGGUGCUGAUCACACCAACAAUGCUGGAGAAUGUUCGUCAAGACAUCGUGACACGGGCCCAUAAAUGCAUUGCAAAUAAUGGGUUGCAUUUCGAACAACAGUAGACUCCCCUGGAUGUAACUCCUCCACAGCCGAAUAAUGAUAGGGGUGUAUGUUAUUAUUGCAGAGCACUCUAUUUAUCGUUGUUUUUGAAUUCGUUCAUGGUCUCGAACACCGCGUUGUGGUCUGCCUUCCCCGCGAUGAGCAAUUAAUCUUCCUUCCGUCCUCAAUCGGAAAUCCAACUGCACAAAAGCGUUUGCAUUAGGAUAUCUUCGAUUAGGAUAGCGAUUCGCAUACAAUAUUUUAUUUUUUUUAUAUUUAUUUAAAUUCUGGAAUAAAACAUUUAAGUUCUUUGUU
rnacentral:misc_RNA from 1 species